rnacentral:rRNA from 1 species
CCUACGGGAGGCAGCAGUGAGGAAUAUUGGUCAAUGGACGAAAGCCUGAUCCAGCAACGCAGCGUGAAUGAAGAAUUACUUCGGUGUGUAAAGCCCUGUCUACAGGGAAGAAAAUGACUGUACCUGACGAAGAAUGCCCGGCUAACUUAGUGCCAGCAGCCGCGAUAAUACGUAGGGGGCAAGCGUUAUCCGGAUUUACUGGGUGUAAAGGGAGCGUAGACGGCAAGGCAAGUCUGUAGGGAAAGCCCGCGGCUCAACCACGGGACUGCUUUUGAAACUGUGUGGCUGGAGUGCAGGAGGGGUAAGCGGAAUUCCUGGUGUAGCGGUGAAAUGCGUAGAUAUCAGGAGGAACCCCGGUGGCGAAGGCGGCUUACUGGACUGUAACUGACGUUGAGGCUCGAAGGUGUGGGGAGCAAACAGGAUUAGAUACCCGAGUAGUA